rnacentral:rRNA from 2 species
GGCUCAGGAUGAACGCUGGCGGCGUGCCUAAUACAUGCAAGUCGAGCGAACUGAUUAGAAGCUUGCUUCUAUGACGUUAGCGGCGGACGGGUGAGUAACACGUGGGCAACCUGCCUGUAAGACUGGGAUAACUUCGGGAAACCGAAGCUAAUACCGGAUAGGAUCUUCUCCUUCAUGGGAGAUGAUUGAAAGAUGGUUUCGGCUAUCACUUACAGAUGGGCCCGCGGUGCAUUAGCUAGUUGGUGAGGUAACGGCUCACCAAGGCAACGAUGCAUAGCCGACCUGAGAGGGUGAUCGGCCACACUGGGACUGAGACACGGCCCAGACUCCUACGGGAGGCAGCAGUAGGGAAUCUUCCGCAAUGGACGAAAGUCUGACGGAGCAACGCCGCGUGAGUGAUGAAGGCUUUCGGGUCGUAAAACUCUGUUGUUAGGGAAGAACAAGUACGAGAGUAACUGCUCGUACCUUGACGGUACCUAACCAGAAAGCCACGGCUAACUACGUGCC